AUUUGAGUAUCAAUGUAUGUCCAGUGACUUGUCUCUGAUUAACAGACUUCCUUACCUUACCUUAAAACAUUCUAAGCCUUUAGACAGAGCUUCAUUUAUUCCACCAAUUACAAAUCAAAGAAUCUUUAAACUCACCUAUAACCCAUAAUCCCCUCCUUCAAGGUGUCCUGCCUUUACAGGCCAGACUGAUGUAUACCUCCCAUGUAUUGAUUUAUGUCUUUCAGUAUAAUUCCUGACUCCCUAAAAUGUAUAAAACCAAACUGCAACCCAACCACAGUGGGAACACUUGUUCAAAGCUUCUUGGGCGUGGUUCUCCAUGGUUGCACAUAUUCCACUCAGAAUAAACCUCGUUAGAUUAUUUUACAGAGUUUGGGUUAUUUUCCACAGAUGGAUAUAAAGAGAAAUAUGAGGAAGUAAAAUAGAUAGUUAUUCAAAUAAAAAUAUAUGUGAUGAAUGCUGGACUGGCCAAAGUAAAUUAGAGAGUUAGAAAAUGACAAGUGUUGGGAAAUUCAUUCAGAAUGCAGCCCAGGGAGACAAGAAGAUUGUUAAAAAUAACACGAAAGAGCAAUUAUGUCACAUGAAGGACAGAUUGAGAGGUUCUAAUAAUUGGUUGUUAGGAGUUCCAAAGGAAGAGAAUAAAGAGAAUGCUAGACACAACGUAUGAUGAAAUAAUGCCUGAGAAUCUUAAGAACUGAAGAAAGAUGUGAGCUCUCAGAUCCCAUGCUUGCCUGAAAGAUAAGUGUGAAAAAACCACCACUCCUCAUUCCAGAAGAAUGUUGCCAAGAAGGCAGAGCUCCCACUUCCCUCAGUUCACAGUCAAGCAGUACAGAAAAAUAGCCAAGGACACAAAGAGAAGAUGGCCAUUCUACAAGCAAAGAGAGAGGUAUCACCAGAAACAAACCUGACACCUUGACCUUGAACUUCUAGCCUCCAGAACUGGCCUCUGACUGCUGUAACUCACUGAGGUACUGCUCGGCCUGCUUGG